rnacentral:tRNA from 1 species
CUCGUUAGUAUAGUGGUCAGUAUCCCCGCCUGUCACGCGGGAGACCGGGGUUCGAUCCCCGACGGG